GAUGAACGCUGGCGGCGUGCUUAACACAUGCAAGUCGAGCGAGUGAGUUCUUCGGAACGAUCUAGCGGCGGACGGGUGAGUAACACGUGGGCAACCUGCCUCAUAGAGGGGAAUAGCCUCCCGAAAGGGAGAUUAAUACCGCAUAAAAUUAUCGAGUGGCAUCACAAGAAAAUCAACGGAGUAAUCCGCUAUGAGAGGGGCCCGCGGCGCAUUAGCUAGUUGGUGAGGUAAAGGCGCACCAAGGCGACGAUGCGUAGCCGACCUGAGAGGGUGAUCGGCCACAUUGGGACUGAGACACGGCCCAGACUCCUACGGGAGGCAGCAGUGGGGAAUAUUGCACAAUGGGGGAAACCCUGAUGCAGCAACGCCGCGUGAGUGAUGAAGGUCUUCGGAUUGUAAAGCUCUGUCUUUGGGGACGAUAAUGACGGUACCCAAGGAGGAAGCCACGGCUAACUACGUGCCAGCCGCCGCAGUAA
rnacentral:rRNA from 1 species